rnacentral:misc_RNA from 1 species
GCAAACUUGGUCAUUUAGAGGAAGUAAAAGUCGUAACAAGGUUUCCGUAGGUGAACCUGCGGAAGGAUCAUUCAUAAUAAAAGUGUUUUAUGGCACUUUGAAAAAAAUCCAUAUCCACCUUGUGUGCAAUGUCAUCCCAAAUGUGUUUGCAAAAACCUUUUGGGAUUUUAUAUCUACUCAGAACUUUAGUGACUUUGUCUGAAAAUUAUUUAUGAAUACUUAAUUCAAAAAUACAACUUUCAACAACGGAUCUCUUGGCUCUCGCAUCGAUGAAGAACGCAGC